UGUAGAAGCUCAAGCUGCUAAUUGCUGAUGUGACUGCCAGUUGAAACAGUUUGUCUACGUGUUGUGAGCUGGGCAAAACUCAUGCAUGAAAAGGAGGAGGAAAGCAAGUGGGGUGAGAUGACACCGUAAGGCAAAGCAAUCACCAUGUACCUGUGUUAAUGAGGUUUCUUGUGUGAUUAUCACCUCACUGCACUUAUUUUUCUUCAUCUGACCAAGUUUUGUUGGACUUCUACCACAGAUUUUCCAGUGUGACAUGAUGUGAAUCACCUAACCUGUACUCUAUAUCAUUUUAAAAGGAUUAGUAAUAGUGUAUCUCUCACUUCCCUGUCCCACUCCCCCCCUUUUCAGUUUUCUGGAUGUGCUUUGGUAGAAAAAGGCAUUAUGCUCUCUGAAGUUACUGCUGCAAUGCAAAUGAUUGAAACAUUAAAAUGACUUGGAGUAUUUGAAGGGCACUCAAUUGGUCAUUUAAUGUUUCCAUUUGUUUUCACAUUUUCAUUUGUGUUCAUGUGGCACUAUCAAAAACAACAGUUCAGAAAGAAGAAUUAACAGGAUUUAAAAAACUGAAGUACAUUGAAAAAAAUAAAGCAGGUAAAUUAUCUUAAGUGUAGGGACUGGAAUGAAAUAAUGCAUUCCACUUUUUCAUAGAAUCAAUUGCACUACAGGGGUUAGAAUCAUAGAAUCAUUUUCUUCUUAACUAAUCUUUGUGCUGCAAGUAAUUGUCCUUUGAAAGGAAUUCUGUUAGAUUACCUUAGUUUGAUAGUGCUGAAACGGAACAAGUGUCCUUUAAACAUGAAUAUUGUCCAGAUUUCAGCUACGAUGAGCACUUUGUCUGCAAGGGUUAUUCACGUGAAGCAAAACACAGGGCGUGUGCUUUCUAAAGACUUCUGUAAAUCAACAAAGCUAUAGAUAGCACAGCCUGAUGCAGUUACCAGCUGAUAUUCCUGCAAAGACACUCCAAAUGAGAGAGGAAAUUCCAAACUUCCUUAUUAUUCCUACAUGCUGAGUUUGCUAGUCAAUAAAAGUUUGUCAAGUUUUAUCUAGCA